rnacentral:rRNA from 1 species
AGAGUUUGAUCCUGGCUCAGGAUGAACGCUGGCGGCGUGCUUAACACAUGCAAGUCGAACGAAGCACUCUAUUUGAUUUUCUUCGGAAAUGAAGAUUUUGUGACUGAGUGGCGGACGGGUGAGUAACGCGUGGGUAACCUGCCUCAUACAGGGGGAUAACAGUUGGAAACGACUGCUAAUACCGCAUAAGCGCACAGGAUUGCAUGAUCCGGUGUGAAAAACUCCGGUGGUAUGAGAUGGACCCGCGUCUGAUUAGCCAGUUGGCAGGGUAACGGCCUACCAAAGCGACGAUCAGUAGCCGACCUGAGAGGGUGACCGGCCACAUUGGGACUGAGACACGGCCCAAACUCCUACGGGAGGCAGCAGUGGGGAAUAUUGCACAAUGGGCGAAAGCCUGAUGCAGCGACGCCGCGUGAGCGAAGAAGUAUUUCGGUAUGUAAAGCUCUAUCAGCAGGGAAGAUAAUGACGGUACCUGACUAAGAAGCACCGGCUAAAUACGUGCCAGCAGCCGCGGUAAUACGUAUGGUGCAAGCGUUAUCCGGAUUUACUGGGUGUAAAGGGAGCGCAGGCGGUGCGGCAAGUCAGAUGUGAAAACCCGGGGCUCAACCCCGGGACUGCAUUGGAAACUGUUCAUCUAGAGUGCUGGAGAGGUAAGUGGAAUUCCUAGUGUAGCGGUGAAAUGCGUAGAUAUUAGGAGGAACACCAGUGGCGAAGGCGGCUUACUGGACAGUAACUGACGUUGAGGCUCGAAAGCGUGGGGAGCAAACAGGAUUAGAUACCCUGGUAGUCCACGCCGUAAACGAUGACUACUAGGUGUCGGGUGGCAAAGCCAUUCGGUGCCGCAGCAAACGCAAUAAGUAGUCCACCUGGGGAGUACGUUCGCAAGAAUGAAACUCAAAGGAAUUGACGGGGACCCGCAC